rnacentral:rRNA from 1 species
ACGGGAGGCAGCAGUGGGGAAUAUUGCACAAUGGGCGAAAGCCUGAUGCAGCAACGCCGCGUGAGGGAUGACGGCCUUCGGGUUGUAAACCUCUUUUAGUAGGGAAGAAGCGAAAGUGACGGUACCUGCAGAAAAAGCACCGGCUAACUACGUGCCAGCAGCCGCGGUAAUACGUAGGGUGCAAGCGUUGUCCGGAAUUAUUGGGCGUAAAGAGCUCGUAGGCGGUUUGUCGCGUCUGCUGUGAAAUCCCGAGGCUCAACCUCGGGUCUGCAGUGGGUACGGUCAGACUAGAGUGCGGUAGUGGAGAUUGGAAUUCCUGGUGUAGCGGUGGAAUGCGCAUAGACCAGGAGGAACACCGAUGGCGAAGGCAGAUCUCUGGGCCGUAACUGACGCUUAGGAGCGAAAUCAUGGGGAGCGAACAGGAUUAGAUACCCUGGUA